GGGCAAGUCUGGUGUCAGCCGCCGCGGUAAUACCAGCACCCCGAGUUGUCGGGACGAUUAUUGGGCCUAAAGCAUCCGUAGCCUGUUCUGCAAGUCCUCCGUUAAAUCCACCUGCUCAACGGAUGGGCUGCGGAGGAUACCGCAGAGCUAGGAGGCGGGAGAGGCAAACGGUACUCAGUGGGUAGGGGUAAAAUCCAUUGAUCUACUGAAGACCACCAGUGGCGAAGGCGGUUUGCCAGAACGCGCUCGACGGUGAGGGAUGAAAGCUGGGGGAGCAAACCGGAUUAGAUACCCGGGUAGUCCCAGCUGUAAACGAUGCAGACUCGGUGAUGGGUUGGCUUCGAGCCAACCCAGUGCCGCAGGGAAAGCCGUUAAGUCUGCCGCCUGGGGAGUACGGUCGCAAGACUGAAACUUAAAGGAAUUGGGGGGGGAGCACCACAAGGGGUGAAGCCUGCGGUUCAAUUGGAGUCAACGCCGGGAAUCUUACCGGGGGCGACAGCAGAGUGAAGGUCAAGCUGAAGACUUUACCAGACAAGCUGAGAGGAGGUGCAUGGCCGUCGCCAGCUCGUGCCGUGAGGUGUCCUGUUAAGUCAGGUAACGAGCAAGAUCCCUGCCUCUAGUUGCUACCACUGCUCUCAGGAGCAGAGGGGCUAAUUAGAGGGACCGCCGCCGCUGAGGCGGAGGAAGGAGGGGGCUACGGCAGGUCAGUAUGCCCCGAAACCCUCGGGCCACACGCGGGCUGCAAUGGUAAGGACAGCGGGCUCCGAUCCCGAAAGGGGGAGGCAA
rnacentral:rRNA from 1 species